UACGUAGGGUGCGAGCGUUAAUCGGAAUUACUGGGCGUAAAGCGUGCGCAGGCGGUUUUGUAAGCCAGAUGUGAAAGCCCCGGGCUUAACCUGGGAAUGGCAUUUGGGACUGCAAGGCUUGAGUGCGGCAGAGGGGGGUGGAAUUCCGCGUGUAGCAGUGGAAAUGCGUAGAGAUGCGGAGGAACACCGAUGGCGAAGGCAGCCCCCUGGGCCAACACUGACGCUCAGGCACGAAAGCGUGGGGAGCAAACAGG
rnacentral:rRNA from 1 species